UACGAAGGGGGUUAGCGUUGCUCGGAAUCACUGGGCGUAAAGGGUGCGUAGGCGGGUCUUUUAAGUCAGGGGUGAAAUCCUGGAGCUCAACUCCAGAACUGCCUUUGAUACUGAGGAUCUUGAGUUCGGGAGAGGUGAGUGGAACUGCGAGUGUAGAGGCGAAAUUCGUAGAUAUUCGCAAGAACACCAGUGGCGAAGGCGGCUCACUGGCCCGAUACUGACGCUGAGGCACGAAAGCGUGGGGAGCAAACAGG
rnacentral:rRNA from 1 species